UGUACUCUUCCUAAUGCCUGGC
rnacentral:miRNA from 1 species